GCGUGCCUAACACAUGCAAGUCGAACGAGAAAGUUGGUUUCGGCCGACGAGUAAAGUGGCGAACGGGUGAGUAACGCGUGGGUGAUCUGCCCUUUUGUGGGGGAUAACCCGCCGAAAGGCGGGCUAAUACCGCAUAAUCCUGUGCUAAUGGGUACAGGGAAAGGCUUUUAGUUGCAGAAGGAGGAGCCCGCGUCCGAUUAGCUAGUUGGUGAGGUAAGAGCUCACCAAGGCGACGAUGGGUAGCCGGUCUGAGAGGACGGACGGCCACACUGGGACUGAGACACGGCCCAGACUCCUACGGGAGGCAGCAGUGGGGAAUUUUGGGCAAUGGGGGAAACCCUGACCCAGCAACGCCGCGUGGAGGAAGAAGAUUUUCGGAUCGUAAACUCCUGUCCGGAGGGACGAAGCAAGUGACGGUACCUCUGGAGGAAGCCCCGGCUAACUCCGUGCCAGCAGCCGCGGUAAUACGGGGGGGGCAAGCGUUGUUCGGAAUUACUGGGCGUAAAGGGCGCGUAGGCGGCUUAGGAAGUCAUGGGUGAAAGGCCUCGGCUCAACCGAGGAAUUGCCUGUGAAACCACUGAGCUGGAGUGCUGGAGAGGAAAGCGGAAUCCCAGUGUAGCGGUGAAAUGCGUAGAUAUGGGGAGGAACAUCUGA
rnacentral:rRNA from 1 species